CCGAAACUGGCAAACUCAAAACGGUUUCCUAAAAUUGUUCCAAUCGGCAGUUUCGUUCUCCCAACGCUUCCUGACCGGGCAUGGCGAUAAACCUUGGAACGAAGUUCACUGCCCUUUAUCUGCUGAUGCUAAAACCCUAAACAUUAACAUAAACGGAAAGCAAAGCGUUACCCUAAAAAAAUUUCAUCAAAAUUUGAAAUAAUAUAGAAUUUCUGAAAAUGCCGGUAACAAAACUAUGUGGCAGCAAAAUUUCUAGUGGGAUUACAAGUAGAAGUGAUAAAUGGAAGAGGUUGAAAAAGAUUUCAGAGGUACAUCCAAGCGAAGUUGGUAAGGCAUUGGGCUCUUCAGGUGUGAAGUCAAAGUGUCACCUGUCAACAGAGUGCAUGUAUUCAUUGUCACCACUGGUGGGUCAUCGUAGAAAGCCCCGUUUUCCAGUGGUCCAUGAUCAGUUGAGUUCUGAUUCUGGUGUUGGUGUUGGUGUUGCUGGUGUAGAGGAGUGGUUAAAUUUUGAAGAAGAGCAGUCUUUGUGCAAUUCAGAGGAGGAAGACAACGAAUUGGGACGAAUACCUAAGAAUGAAGCACGUGCUUCUAAUGUCAAACGCGAGCUUAUGACGCUUUCUUUGCCUGCAAUGGUUGGGCAGGCUAUUGAUCCUUUAGCGCAACUUAUGGAGACUGCCUAUAUUGGUAGAUUGGGCGCUGUGGAGUUGGGCUCAGCUGGUGUGUCCAUGGCAAUUUUUAAUAAUAUAUCAAAGCUUUUCAAUAUACCUCUUCUUAGUGUUGCAACAUCAUUUGUUGCGGAAGACAUUUCUAAAAAUUCGACAAAAAGUUCUGCUUCUGGUGGUUGUCUAAUUGACAGUACUAAUGGUAAACCUAAAGAUGGGUUAGCUGAGAGAAAGCAAUUCUCCUCUGUAUCUACUGCUUUGCUUCUAGCAGUCGGCAUUGGCAUCUUUGAGGCUACAGCUCUGUUUUUGGGUUCUGCUUCAUUUCUUAACUUGAUGGGCAUAUCGUUAGAUUCACCAAUGCGUGUUCCGGCUGAAAGAUUUCUUCGGAUAAGAGCCCUUGGUGCUCCUGCAACUGUAGUUUCCUUAGCUCUUCAAGGCAUUUUUCGUGGCUUCAAGGAUACAAAGACUCCUGUCGUAUGUCUAGGUAUGGGCAAUCUGUCAGCCGUGUUUUUGUUUCCCUUACUGAUGUAUCAUUUGGGAUUGGGUGUUAUUGGAGCGGCAAUGUCCACCGUAAUGUCCCAAUACAUUGUUGCCUGUAUUAUGCUUUGGCACUUGAAUGAAAGAGUUAUAUUACUGCCCCCAAAAGUUGGAGCACUCCAAUUUGGAGUCUAUAUGAAAUCUGGUGGCUUUCUUAUUGGAAGAACACUUGCUGUUCUAACAACCAUGACAUUGGCAACGUCCAUGGCUGCUCGUCAAGGUGCAGUGGCUAUGGCUGCACAUCAGAUAUGUUUGCAAGUAUGGUUGGCCGUAUCACUUCUUUCAGAUGCUCUGGCUGCAUCAAGUCAGGCCCUAAUUGCAAGUUCUUUUUCUGAAGGAGACUAUAAAACCGUAAAAGAAGUUGCUAACUAUGUGUUAAAGAUUGGAUUGCUCAUAGGCAUUUUCUUAGCUGCAUUUCUGGGUCUAUCUUUUGGUUCUAUAGCCACCUUGUUUUCCAAGGAUCCUGAUGUCUUAGAAGUUGUCAGAACUGGGAUACUGUUUGUCUGUGCUAGUCAGCCGAUUAACGCGCUAGCUUUUAUUUUUGAUGGUCUCCAUUAUGGUGUUUCGGACUUCCCAUAUGCAGCACGCUCUAUGAUGUUGGUGGGUGCAAUAUCAUCUCUAUUUUUGCUCUAUGCACCUUCAAUUGUUGGCCUUCCUGGGGUAUGGGCAGGCUUGGUCAUCUUUAUGGGUUUGCGUGUGGCUGCAGGUUGUUUCAGAUUGCUAUCCAAGUCGGGUCCGUGGUGGUUCAUGCACAGGGACUGGCAGACUAUUAAGAAAUAACUCGAGUUCAUCUAGAAUGCAGUAUUAUUAGAUACCAGUGUGUGUCAGUCACCUGGGUGAAAAAAGAUAGUAGUUGGAGUAAGUUCCCAUUUUGUUACUCUUGUCAAAAGCUUGCCCGUUGAGAUGAUGGAGUCUGGAAUAAUUGCUCGAUGGUCACAAGAGUAUGACAUUAGAUUUGAUAAAUUCUUUUAUACACUUGUCUUUCAGAUUUGAGAACAUUCUCGACAUUCAAUUAGUAAUCUAUCACAGGCAAGAGCUAAUGAGGGAGAUGUGGAUCUGAUUAACAAACUGUUGGAAGUGUAAUGGUAAUUCGUUACAAACAAGGUGGGUGUCGACAUGUAUAAUGAGGGAGAUAUUCAGAAGUGGAAUAUGAGUGAAUUCAAUGGCUGUAUACGUACUGGGAAAAACUCUUGUAUUCUAUGGAUUCAAUUUGAUUUUCCUGUUGUGCUGCCGUUUUGUUUCAUUCUAUACUAAUUUAGGCUCAAGACCUAUGCAAGACC